AUUGAACGCUGGCGGCAGGCCUAGCACAUGCAAGUCGAGCGGAUGAAGGGAGCUUGCUCCUGAAUUCAGCGGCGGACGGGUGAGUAAUGCCUAGGAAUCUGCCUGGUAGUGGGGGAUAACGUCCGGAAACGGGCGCUAAUACCGCAUACGUCCUGAGGGAGAAAGUGGGGGAUCUUCGGACCUCACGCUAUCAGAUGAGCCUAGGUCGGAUUAGCUAGUUGGUGGGGUAAAGGCCUACCAAGGCGACGAUCCGUAACUGGUCUGAGAGGAUGAUCAGUCACACUGGAACUGAGACACGGUCCAGACUCCUACGGGAGGCAGCAGUGGGGAAUAUUGGACAAUGGGCGAAAGCCUGAUCCAGCCAUGCCGCGUGUGUGAAGAAGGUCUUCGGAUUGUAAAGCACUUUAAGUUGGGAGGAAGGGCAGUAAGUUAAGACCUUGCUGUUUUGACGUUACCAACAGAAUAAGCACCGGCUAACUUCGU
rnacentral:rRNA from 1 species